CUAGAACUUAAAUGUAUUCCCGCAUUUUACUGGUGGGCGACCUAGAACUUAAAAGUAUUCUCGCAUUUUACUGGUGGGCGACCUAGAACUUAAAAGUAUUCCCGCAUUUUACUGGUGGGCGACCUAGAACUUAAAAGUAUUCCCGCAUUUUACUGGUGGGCGACCUAGAACUUAAAUGUAUUCCCGCAUUUUACUAGUGGGCGACCUAGAACUUAAAAGUAUUCCCGCAUUUUACUGGUGGGCGACCUAGAAAUUAAAUGUAUU
rnacentral:lncRNA from 1 species